AUGAAAACCACUUCUAAUUGUCAUCGUGCUCCGAAGGCACCAAUUAGGCUAAUGCCACUGGUUGCGAAGGCAACAUGCAUAUGUAGGAGAAAUUGUAUAUAUAGCUAG
rnacentral:rRNA from 1 species